rnacentral:guide_RNA from 1 species
GUACAAACAAAUAAUAAAGAAGCAGUGAGACUAAAUGAUUGUAUAUU